GAUGAACGCUGGCGGCGUGCCUAAUACAUGCAAGUCGAGCGAACGGACGAGAAGCUUGCUUCUCUGAUGUUAGCGGCGGACGGGUGAGUAACACGUGGAUAACCUACCUAUAAGACUGGGAUAACUUCGGGAAACCGGAGCUAAUACCGGAUAAUAUUUUGAACCGCAUGGUUCAAAAGUGAAAGACGGUCUUGCUGUCACUUAUAGAUGGAUCCGCGCUGCAUUAGCUAGUUGGUAAGGUAACGGCUUACCAAGGCAACGAUGCAUAGCCGACCUGAGAGGGUGAUCGGCCACACUGGAACUGAGACACGGUCCAGACUCCUACGGAAGGCAGCAGUAGGGAAUCUUCCGCAAUGGGCGAAAGCCUGACGGAGCAACGCCGCGUGAGUGAUGAAGGUCUUCUGAUCGUAAAACUCUGUUAUUAGGGAAGAACAUAUGUGUAAGUAACUGUGCACAUCUUGACGGUACCUAAUCAGAAAGCCACGGCUAACUACGUG
rnacentral:rRNA from 1 species